UGGUUCUUCUUUAGCUGGUUUGUCACUGACUCAGUAGUAUAUCAGCAGUUAGCCAAACGGCAGCCAGAACACACACACAGAUACACUGACUGACACAGCAAGAGUGAGGACGUAAAAAGGGAGAGUUGCAAAAGAGAAGCAGAGAAAGCCUGUCUUCUCUGUUUCCUGGUUGUUUUGUGUCCCUGAUAUGACCCUGUUCAGCCCGAGAUACAUAAGCAUGAGUGGAGAGUUGAAGUCCAGCCGCUCCAGGGCAGCCAGUAAGAGAGCCAGCAACACCACUUAUGGAUCUGAGUUCGACCUGGACUAUGACAGCUAUCACGAGGACUACUAUGACAGG